rnacentral:pre_miRNA from 1 species
UAUAUACUCCCUCCGUCCGAAAAUACUUGUCACAAAAAUGCAUAAAAAUGGAUGUAUCUAAAACUAAAAUACGUCUAGAUACAUCCAUUCCUUCGACAAGUAUUUCCGGACGGAGGGAGUAUUAC